UAUGCAGUUCACUGUAAUUCAUUAAUAUCUGCCCUUCUGUAAUGUUGCAGGAAGAGUUUGGAGACAAUAGCAGUCCUGUCUGGAUGUGACUCUGCAAUAUAUCGUCCAAAGCUAAGUGUUUAAACAUUGAGCUUCAAUCACUGUACUACUGCACAUCAUAACCACAUUUGUAGAAAAAUGUUAAUCCUAAUCUAAUUUUGGUUUUGAUGUUUUUCAGCAAUUGUGUAGUUGAAGACAGAAUGCUUGAGAAGAUCAAGUGUGCUACAACACUGAUGAUGACAAUCGGACUACCAGCAUCUGUGGAUGGGACAAACUGUGUAUAGCACUGAAGACCAAAGCAAGGACAAUGCUGAAGACAGAAGAAGCAGAGAAAUAAGCAUACUAAAGCAGGAUAUCCAACCUGUACGACGAAUCAGAUCCAGUGGCUAGAUGGCGGGAGAUGCUUCCUUCAUCUAAUAAUUGGAUGACUAAUUAAUCUUAAUAUGUUUAUAAAUUGUUUGACCAUAUUACAUAAUUGGUUUAAUUUCUAAAUAUAUUAAUAUUUCACAUAUUAAGUAAGUAAAAUGAAUGUGUUCUUGAAAUGCGUGCGUCGUGCCAGAGGAGGAUGGGUCCCCCCUGCUGAGUUUGGUUCCUCUCAAGGUUUUUUACCUCCAAACCUUUUGGAGUUUUUUCCUUGCCACCAUCGCCAUUAGCUUGCUCACUGGGGGUGUUGUGCCAAAUCCCGUCUCUCUCUCUCGGAUCCUUUCCAACCAGGGUUUUCAAAACGGACGUUUUUAAUCAAAUAAAAAUUUAAUUAAAUAACCAGGGCUGCACAAUUAAUUAAAAAACUAAAUUAAAUCAUGUUAUGGCUUAGUGACAAU